rnacentral:rRNA from 1 species
GACGAACCGUCCAAACGUUAUUCGGAAUUACUGGGCUUAAAGGGUGCGUAGGCGGCGAGGAAAGUAGGGUGUGAAAUCCCUCGGCUUAACCGAGGAACAGCGCUCUAAACUACCUUGCUCGAGGGAGACAGAGGUGAGCGGAACUUAGGGUGGAGCGGUGAAAUGUGUUGAUAUCCUAAGGAACACCGGUGGCGAAGGCGGCUCACUGGGUCUCUUCUGACGCUGAGGCACGAAAGCUAGGGUAGCGAACGGG